UACGUAGGGUGCAAGCGUUGUCCGGAAUUAUUGGGCUUAAAGAGCUCGUAGGCGGUUCGAUAAGUCGGAUGUGAAAUCUCCACGCUCAACGUGGAGGGGCCAUUCGAUACUGUCGUGACUCGAGUCCGGUAGGGGAGUGUGGAAUUCCCGGUGUAGCGGUGAAAUGCGUAGAUAUCUGGAGGAACACCGGUGGCGAAGGCGGCAUCCUGGACCAACACUGACGCUGAGGAGCGAAAGCCAGGGGAGCAAACGGG
rnacentral:rRNA from 1 species